GAAAAGUGUAGGGAAAAACAGUAGAAAGAAGCUGUUAGAAGGGAAGGUCCAACUGUGAUCCUCUUGGAAGAAGUAGUCUCAUGGCCUCAGAGCAGGCUGAGUUACGGUGUAGACUAAGAGUCAGAAGACUUGUUUUAGUUCCAGUUCUGGUCAAUUCUCUGCAUGACCUGUAGAAAGUUCAUGAACUCUAUCUUUCCUUCAGCAAAAGUAUGAUUAACAGUGAUCUAACUAUAAACAACAAGCAAGGGACAAUUCAGUUGUGGCAGUAGUAGUGUCCUUAGAGAACACAGAUUGCUAUGGAUAAAAUGUGCACACAGAAAAUCAACCCUUCUGGAUAAUCACAUCCCAGUAAUGACUUGAUUGUACCCUGAACAGAGCUUGGAACUCUUUUGAAAUUCUUCCAAAAAGGAUCUUAAAAUGUGAAGAUAUGGGAACAUUAUUAUCUUUUGCUUACACUUCUAAGCUAUGAUUGCAUCUGGGUUUUCUCAAUAUGUACUAAGGGAUUUCUGUCACUUGUGGACUGGUAAUAGACAGACUGAAAGAAGGCUAUUCAAUAACAGUGCCAAUGGCAGAUUUAAGAUAUCCCCCAGGAUUUCCCCUCCGAGGUUUCCACACUAUCCAUAGUCCCUGGGCUUAUUAAUAUGAUGGAGUGUACUCCAGUGUUUAGGUAACAUUAUAUGAUAUCUGUUGACUUUAGAAAUGGAGAGUAUUCAAGUAGUACUGAGUACACUCAAGAAAGUAUUUAAGAAUUACCAAAUUACAUGAGCUCUUUGAAAGCAGAGCUUUUUUGUUUACCUUGAGGCAGAAGAGGAAGCCAGAGAAAUUAGAAACAAGAGAAACAUUUGAUGCAUUAUUGCUGACUUGAAGAUGGAGAGAGGUUCCCCUGAGCAUACAGGAGUACUCCAUGAAGACUGCAAUGGCUUCCCUCUCACAAACUGCAUGCACGUCCAGCAGCUCCUGGAGUGUGUCUGUGGGGAAUCUCACUUGCUGGGCCAUCUGCUGGCUGUAGUGGUUGGCUGCCCUCUGCACGGCUGCUGAGUUCUCACACUGGGCCAGAACUGCCAUUGCAUUCUCCAGACAAGGAGUCGCUCCACUGUUGAUGGCAUCCAGGUAGGUCUCCACCAGCAUCCCCAGCCCUGAAUGAUUUAGGAAAUUUAGGGAAUAGAUAGAAAGUUUUCACUCAUUGUUUUACGAGUGGUAUGUAUCAGCAUUCUAAAAAUCAGAAAAAAUUCCAUUUAACAUGAAUUUUCCCUCCUUCUCCUUCUUUCAAUUCUACUAUUACUACUACUACUUUUUAUGGAGUCACUUUCCUACGAUAACAUGACUGUUGUUCCUAUUUAUUCUUUCUAUUUUGUUCUCCAGCUCAUCACAUUACAAAGUUAAUUACUAAUCACAAACAAUAUGUAGCAAGGGUUUCUUGAAAAAAAAAAACUUUUCUGCUUAAGUAAAAAUUUAAAAGCGUUUAUUCAGCAAAGUAAAUUAUAUCAUUUGUGGAUCAUAAUUCUGAAUGUAAAUGCAGGUGCUUUUAUAAAAACACUUAAGACAGUGCCAGAACAUCAAACCCUGUGAGAAGCUCUUUUCUAUACAGAGCACUAAAAGACUGCACAGGUAACAUGUUCAUGAAGCCAGCUUUGUUUAUAAGAUUACGCUGAAUUUUGUAUCUCAAAAUCUCAAUAGGCUUGCAGAAACUCAUGACAUGCUACUUACUUUCUGUUUUGUGUAAAUUCACAAUACAGCUUUUAUACCCUCACUGAGAAAAAAUCCUUCACUUAUCCCACACCUCAUAACACAGAUGUUAUCUCCUUACCAGUUGUUCGUGCUCAUAAGCUUAGUUUACUAGUUUUUGAGAUACAGUAGGCCUCAGUAAACACCCAUAUAGGGAAAUAGACUCACGGUUUCCAGUGACAAGGAUUCCCUCUCUCAGGGUCUUGGUCUUUGCAUGGGUGAAGAUAUAAGAACAGAAAUUUUCUGAUUGCAUCUGGAAAUUACUAUCCAGUUGGUCUUCUCGUACUUCUUCAACAUGGAGUAAGAGUUUUUUGUCAUUUAUUGGCCGGUCAAAGACAAAGCACUUCUGUUUUGGAAAGAAAUGCCUGAUCCACUCCCUGGGCUUGUUAGAAUUUUGGAUUUGGGGAUUCUUGCCUGCAGAAUUAGUGAAAAAGUGACUACUGAAGAACAGGUUUUAAGUGAGCCUGAAGAUUUUCAUUUCCAAAGUUCCUUCCAUCAAUCACUACAGUCUCUUGUGUCUGUGAAUCUACUCUAUGUAAUCAAACCUCUCAUGCAACCAAACUUAUGCUAAUCUACUUAAGGUAUGAAAAGUCAAUUUCUGCACAAAGCAGAGUCAAAAAGGUACUUCUGGAAAUGAAGGGAAUGCAUCCACCUCAAGUGAAGGAAUUUGUGGUUGGUUUCCUCAGCCACUGUAUGAUGUCCCGUAGACUGACGAUUUUUAAAAUGUUUGUUGAAUUAUGAUUAACUAAAAUAUGAUAAGAAGUACUUUCUUUAAAAAUUGUAUAUAUUUAAGGCGUUAUAACAUGAUGUUUCGAUAUACAUGUACAUAGUGAAAUUACUACUAAGUAAGCAAAUUAUAUAUCCAAUACUUUCUAUACUUUUCUUCCCUUUUUUUGUGGUAAGAGUACCUAAAAUCUAAUCUCUGUAAAUUUUAAAUGUAAAAUACAAUAUUGUUAAGGAUAGUUCUCCUGCAGUAUAUUAGAGCCCUAGACUUUCCCACCCUAUAUAACUUCAAGUUUGUACCCUUCACCCACAUGUCCUCAUUUCCUCCCUCACCAUGCCCUGGUAACCACUGUUCUACUCUCUGUUUCUAUGUAUUUGACGUUUUGAAAUAGAAUCCAUAUAGAAAUGAGGUCCUGUCAUAUUUUUCUUCCUGUUUCUGGCUAAUAUUACAUAGCAUCAUGGACUUUCUCAAUCUUACUGUCCCCAUGUCAGAAAUGAAAUGUUGGGCUUAAAAUUUAAAUGCUAGAAACAAGGACAAGAUGUGGCUGGGAAAAAUGUUUGAAAGAGACGGAAAAUACUCAGGUCAGAUUAUAUUAGGUCUAACAUUGUCUUGCAGAGGGAUUCUGUGACAUAUAUCAGUUAUUCAAAACAAAUAUUUGUUGAAAGGAUGAACAAAUGAACAAAGAUGGAUAUUGAUUGUAGGUGCCAACAGGUAUCCACUCCACUAAAUAUAAUCUGUUUAACAAAUGUAUAAUAGAUUGACAACAUAUUAUAUGAGACUGUAGAAUGAAGUAGGUGAUGUUAUGAAAAUGGUAAAAUAAAGGAUUUGACAGUCCUACUGGAA
rnacentral:lncRNA from 1 species